AGUGCAAUCAAAAAGCAAUAUCAAAUGCGGAAGAUGUGUGCUUGAGGAAAUACGAACAGGAACACGGCAUCAUUUCUAGAGGCCUGAUGUCCGGCAACGACAAACGACUGUGCUGCAUGUUGGACUACAAGAAGAAUUGUGUUCCAGACCAAUUAAAACCAAAAGGCUGUGGUGAACAACUUCUUCAAAAUUAUGUUGCAAAGAUGCAGAGUGAAAUGAGAUACCAAUGUGCAGCAUCGAACUCGAUGUGUGCCAUCUGUCCUACAGGAUUACUAGACAGUGCAAAGAAUACGUGCAACAACAAUUAUCAGAAGUUGCAAGACGCAUCCAA